rnacentral:lncRNA from 1 species
CUGAACCUCUGAAACUGUGAGCCCAAAAUGAACUUUUAAUCCACUAAGUUGUUCUUGUAAGGUAUUUUGGUCAUAGUGACGAAAGUCUGACUAAUACAGAAAUUGUACUGUAUAUAGACUUUCUCAGGGUGGCCUCAAUAGAAGCAGAGCAGGAAAAAUGCUCUCAAUGAGUAGAGCUUUAAGUGGUACAACUUUGGGAGGAAGGAAGAGCAGCUCAGAGACUAGAAUAUAUAUGCCCUCAGGAUCAGUGGUGAAUGGUUUGGUUGACUGUUUAUGGUCCUGGGAGGAGAAAGAUUGGAAUAUCAGAAACUAGAAGAUCCGGGUAGAUGCCUGUGAAUGGGUAUGUGGGAGAAGGAAAGAAGGGAGAAGAUUUUUUUUUUUUUUAAUGUUAAAGCCCACCAGACAGCAUCCACCAUAGAAGAGGCACUAAGCAAACAGGUAGACAAAGGGACUUGACCGGUUUUUAUCAGGGAACCUCUGUCAUCAGCUGCCCAGAUAGGCAUGAAUAAAGCAGCCUGGAUGGCAGGGAUGGAGACUGUGCAUGGGAAAGCCUGGAAAGUUGUUCUUCUUGUUCCCAGAACUCUAGAAUUUAUGUUUGAGCAAAUCUGGUUCCCGAAGUGGAACAUGAACACUUACUUCUUCCAGGGACAAAGAGUCCUAUUGAACUAUGACUACUACUUGCAUGCUUCAGUACUUUUGCUAAGGGAUCAGCAGGAAGAAGAGGAGUCACAUCUUGGCAGGGGUAAUUAUCCUGAUUAUUAGGAUGAAGUAAGCCUGCCGUCACACAAUGAGAGUAUCUAGGUGAUCCACAGGAUACCUCUUUGACUCCUCUUGCCCAAUUCUGGCCCCAAAAGAGCAUGGUGACAAGGUACUCAGACCCCUCAAGUAUGAGGAAAUGGGUCUUGCCAACAGGUAAGCCAGUGAGACCAACUGAUGUGGUAGCUGAAGGUGAGGGGAAUCUAAGAUGAGUUACAGAGAUAAAAUGAUGACUAUCAGUUGCAUCCUGGAGACAUCUACAGUGGAUAAGGACUACAGUUUAUCUCACUAACUUUCCUCUCAAGCGUUCUCUAGGAAUCCUGCAAAAGCUUCUCCCAGAGUUUAAACAAAGAGGUGGAUCUGAGCAGUGCAAGAGAUGAAAUGCGUUGGAUGUACUUCCCAGAUACUCCUUUAGAGCUGAAGGACAAAAUUCCUCUUGCUGGGAAAGCUCUUGGGAAGGUGGCUCUCAAUCAUCAGCCCAUUCAUGGAAUUGUCUUGACUGAGGAAACUUCUUGCUAAAGGUGCAAUAUUUCCAAUGACUGACCAGUGACGGGGUUUAAGGAUCUGGUCCCCUCAUCUCCAUUCAAGUCAACUCUGAAUCCCCUAGAUUCAUAGCACCCUAGGGGGUUGGCUGAGGACUUUGUUAGGAUGUAUGAUCGCUCACUAUCUCCCAAUCUUGCUUCCUUUCUCUUCCUUCAACAGGUGUUGAUCCUAAACCCUUGCCCUAGGAAAAAUCCUGUAUGCUAAUCUGUAUCUCAGAAAUAACUUCCAUGGGAAUACCAUCAAAAUGGAAUCAAGAUUGAAAGGUGUGGUGCUGACAGCCACCUGAUCUCUGAGGGAAGCUGUGGAUAGACUGCUGUUCAGACACGUCCUCCUCAAUUCACUGGGAAUGCCCUCCUUAGUGCACACUCUGCAAACUGAUGCCAAAGUAUUUUUUACUUUAUAGCAUGACUCACAAAAUACGUGUUGAUCAAAUGACAAUCAUUUUCACUUGGAGUGUGGGUUUUCAGUGAUAAACAAUUAGUAAACUAUAUCUAAGUGAAAAAGAGAAGGUAGACGUGUGGCACAUGCCUGUAAUCUCAGCUACUCAAGAAGCUGAGGAAGGAGGAUCACACGUUUGAGACAAUUUAGUAGGAGACCCUGUCUCAAAUAAAAUAAAAUAAAAUAGGGUGGGGGGAAU